rnacentral:rRNA from 1 species
AGCGAACGCUGGCGGCAGGCUUAACACAUGCAAGUCGAACGCUCGUAGCAAUACACGAGUGGCGAACGGGUGAGUAACACGUGGGUGAUCUGCCCUGCACUUCGGGAUAAGCCUGGGAAACUGGGUCUAAUACCGGAUAGGACCACUGCCUGCAUGGGUGGUGGGGGAAAGCUUUUGCGGUGUGGGAUGGGCCCGCGGCCUAUCAGCUUGUUGGUGGGGUGAUGGCCUACCAAGGCGACGACGGGUAGCCGGCCUGAGAGGGUGACCGGCCACACUGGGACUGAGAUACGGCCCAGACUCCUACGGGAGGCAGCAGUGGGGAAUAUUGCACAAUGGGCGCAAGCCUGAUGCAGCGACGCCGCGUGAGGGAUGACGGCCUUCGGGUUGUAAACCUCUUUCAGCACCGACGAAGCGCAAGUGACGGUAGGUGCAGAAGAAGGACCGGCCAACUACGUGCCAGCCGCCGCCGUAA